CCUACGGGAGGCAGCAGUGAGGAAUAUUGGGCAAUGGGCGAAAGCCUGAACCAGCCAAGCCGCGUGAGGGAUGAAGGUUCUAUGGAUUGUAAACCUCUUUUAUAAGGGAAUAAAGUGCGGGACGUGUCCCGGUUUGUAUGUACCUUAUGAAUAAGGAUCGGCUAACUCCGUGCCAGCAGCCGCGGUAAUACGGAGGAUCCGAGCGUUAUCCGGAUUUAUUGGGUUUAAAGGGUGCGUAGGCGGCCUUUUAAGUCAGCGGUGAAAGUCUGUGGCUCAACCAUAGAAUUGCCGUUGAAACUGGGAGGCUUGAGUAUGUUAGAGGCAGGCGGAAUGCGUGGUGUAGCGGUGAAAUGCUUAGAUAUCACGCAGAACCCCGAUUGCGAAGGCAGCCUGCCAGGCCAUGACUGACGCUGAUGCACGAAAGCGUGGGGAUCAAACAGGAUUAGAUACCCCGGUAGUC
rnacentral:rRNA from 1 species